rnacentral:sRNA from 1 species
AAAGUACGCCCCGAUCACGACGGUCCCGU